CCUACGGGGUGCUGCAGUGGGGAAUAUUGCACAAUGGGCGCAAGCCUGAUGCAGCCAUGCCGCGUGUGUGAAGAAGGCCUUCGGGUUGUAAAGCACUUUCAGCGGGGAGGAAGGCGUUAAGGUUAAUAACCUUGGCGAUUGACGUUACCCGCAGAAGAAGCACCGGCUAACUCCGUGCCAGCAGCCGCGGUAAUACGGAGGGUGCAAGCGUUAAUCGGAAUUACUGGGCGUAAAGCGCACGCAGGCGGUCUGUCAAGUCGGAUGUGAAGUCCCCGGGCUCAACCUGGGAACUGCAUUCGAAACUGGCAGGCUAGAGUCUUGUAGAGGGGGGUAGAAUUCCAGGUGUGGCGGUGAAAUGCGUAGAGAUCUGGAGGAAUACCGGUGGCGAAGGCGGCCCCCUGGACAAAGACUGACGCUCAGGUGCGAAAGCGUGGGGAGCAAACAGGAUUAGAUACCCGGGUAGUC
rnacentral:rRNA from 1 species